UCUAGCAAUUUUUUCUCACUUUCUUCAUUUGAACUCAUUUACUUAGUAACUCCAACGUCUAUUCAAUUCUCAAUUCUCCAUGCUUGAAAUUAGUUUAGUUUUGUUUGCUGUCUCUCGAAUUUUCUCAUCUAUUACUCUCUCUACAUACUUUAUAUAUGUAUUAAACCACAUUCAUCUAUUACCACUCAAUCAGUAAUUGUAGUUAAAUUCAAUUUGUUAGGAAAUAAUCAAUCAAACCUAUUUCUUAUUUGGAUUUGAUUUACCAUGAUUGUUUUUGAAGAUCUUGGUUUUUAAGCUAAUUGCUACUUUGAGUCUUUAGUGUUAGAGAACAUUUUUUUUUCCUAAUGUAAUUUAAUUCGAGCAUGAAGCGCCACAGCGCCAUCCACUAAGCAAUAUUCAAAGGCAUAGUAGUGCCCUACCAUGGUGGUGAUGAGUGGUUGGUGUUACGUGACAAAAGAGAAGUAGAACUUGAAGCAAAAAAAAAAAAAAAAAAAAAAGUAAUAACUUCUGUUAUAUAGCUAUUUUGUUUAAUUUUAUGAAAUUCUUGAUUUCGUCCGCUGCAUUUUAAGUUUAUUUCCUUAAGAGACGAAAAGGGAAGUCAAUUGUUUGACAAAUUGAAGUCUUAGUAGUAUGUGCACCCGAAUAAGUUGGGAUUGAGUCGUAGUUUAUUGAAAGUAUAAACUCCAAAAACCCAUGCAAAAGGGGAAGUUAUCUAGCUGAGCAUAUUUAGCUCUAUUGGCUCUUGGAUAUGUAGGCAAGUCCGAUGACCAUUAUUGUUUAACAUUCAUGAGUUGUUAUUCCUUUAUGGAAAGAAACUGACACAAAUAAAUACAGCUAUUAGAUGAUAUGUUAUCCUAAAGCUUGAUUGGAAAAACAACCUUUUGUGCUUUUCGCUAAACGCUACUGUCCGAGAGUAGUAUCCUCCCUCUCAAAGUCAAUAGUUUUCUUACUCUCUAUCUGGUUUCUCUUUUGAAAUAAAAAAUAAAAUUGUGUUGGUGCACUAUAUUGUGCUCACAGUGUAAUUCUUCAACUUGAGGUUUCUAAAUCUUCAAUGUCCUGUACCAACUAUGCUAUAUUUCAACUCUUGAACGUGGAUUCCCUCCUUUAUGGUUUAUUUCUUCAAGCAACUUUCAUAUUUUCUUAAUGAUAAUCGGUCUUAUCCAUAUAGGGACGUUUAGGUGUUUCUGUGUGUCAUCUUUUAUGUUCUGUUACUGUAUGAAAAAUUGAUAAUUCACGCACAUCUCAUAUGUUUGAUAUAGGUCACUCUAUGUAUGGAUUUACUAAUCAUAUCAAAUUCUAUAUCACCAUCGUGUACUUAAUUCAUUUUACUUAUUGUUGAGUAGAAAUGUGUCUUAUUUUCUUUCUGUUUUCCAAGUGCUCACAGCUAUUAAUGGAAUAUACUUUGAGAAAUGUUUGCGUCAUCUUUCCUUUAAACCUACAGUGAGGGAGAAAGUUGUUUAUACUGAAAAUUAUAGCAUCUUAGAUAAGCUAUCUGAUGCUGGAUUGUGGGUGUAGCAUACGGAAAGAAAAAAGUGCCGGUAGAAUUCAGGUCAUUUCCAUUAGUCGUUGUUAAGGCCCAGCGGUUAACUCUUACAAUAUUUGUUUGCAUGUUUUAUAUGAGAGCUACGAGCCUCUGACAUUUACUACAAUGGUUGUGGAUAAUGCAGGUGUGACAUAAGUGGUUGUUCAUACAAUACAACCGGUAUUGGUGCUGUGCUCCCAUUUUUACACCUCAAAGUUGAAACAGUGUUUUUCCAUUUCAUUCUUGCUCAAGAUCACUGCUCCAACUUUAAAUAUUGCUUCAAUUAUAGUUUAGCUGGAAGAUGCUCAAAAUGGUUUCAAAGUUCUUCUAAAACAUCAAUUAGCUAUUGUUGAUGAAGCACAAGGUCGCAAUGUUAUUUUGUCAGGGACUACAACAAAGGGGACAAACAACAAACGAGGCUGACUUCAUACUUUGAUUGAACUUUAAGUGGAUGCAUCACAUUUUGUUUCUGUGUAAAUAGGCAUCUUGUUUAUUCCUAGGCAUCUUGUACCAAAUUGCUUACUCUCCUUCAGGAUUCUUUAGGUUUUGAUAUACUGAGAAA